GUGGCGUCACCCUGGAAACCACAUUCCACAUCAUGAACUAGGAUACAACGUACAAUGCCAUAAUAGGUCGACCCUGGAUACACGCCAUGAAGGCCAUCCCUUCAAACUUGUACCAAGUUAUCAAAUUCCCUACCCCAUAGGGGUGUUCAGCAUACGAGGAGAGCAACGCACAUCCCGAGAAUGCUAUCGCAUCGCCCAAGAUUGCACGUAUACCCAACAAAUGGUGGGUAAAACAAAAGAUGCAUAACAAUUAACAUGGUCGAGAUCGAGCUGUGACGAAAGAGCGGACAUCAUCAGAGAUCCCGAAAUAAUAGAGGCCACGGGAUCAACCGUAGAGGACCUCAACCCCGUCCAAAUUGAUGAUAACGACCACAACAAGAAAGCCUACAUCGGCUGCAAGCUUCAGGAAUCAGGUAUGAGAUCCGAAGCCAGGUUACCGAGCUCAAAUUUCUGGGACCGAUCAAAUACCGAACUCGAAGUCAUUACCGAGUUCGAAUCCAAAUCGAACUAUGAUGCGAAAUGACGUCAUCGAGCUUGAGAGUCAGAGACCGACCAAUACCGAGCCCAAGUCAAUACCGGACCCCGAGUCAAUAUCGGGCUCUAAAUCUGGAAACAAACCAAUACCAAUUCUGAUCAAGAUCGAGCCAAGUCCGAUCAAGAUCGAGUCAAGGGACAAGAGUUAUAGUCUCACUAAGGAGAGAGAAUCUCGGCGGGAAUUAGGGAAAAACUAUUCUACCAUGGGAUCCCCACUAUGUAUUUUUAAUUAUAUCUAAAAUAGGAUUCCUCCACUAUAAGAGAGAUAACUACUAUUUCUGUAAAGGAUUGAACAUUAAGACAUGCAUACACUCUCAUAUUCA